CUGCAUGGCUGUCGUCAGCUCGUGUUGUGAAAUGUUGGGUUAAGUCCCGCAACGAGCGCAACCCUUAUCCUUUGUUGCCAGCGGUCCGGCCGGGAACUCAAAGGAGACUGCCAGUGAUAAACUGGAGGAAGGUGGGGAUGACGUCAAGUCAUCAUGGCCCUUACGACCAGGGCUACACACGUGCUACAAUGGCGCAUACAAAGAGAAGCGACCUCGCGAGAGCAAGCGGACCUCAUAAAGUGCGUCGUAGUCCGGAUUGGAGUCUGCAACUCGACUCCAUGAAGUCGGAAUCGCUAGUAAUCGUGGAUCAGAAUGCCACGGUGAAUACGUUCCCGGGCCUUGUACACACCGCCCGUCACACCAUGGGAGUGGGUUGCAAAAGAAGUAGGUAGCUUAACCUUCGGGAGGGCGCUUACCACUUUGUGAUUCAUGACUGGGGUGAAGUCGUAACAAGGUAACCGUAGGGGAACCUGCGGUUGGAUCACCUCCUUACCUUAAAGAAGC
rnacentral:rRNA from 3 species